AUACGUAGGGGGCAAGCGUUAUCCGGAAUUACUGGGUGUAAAGGGAGCGUAGGCGGUGAAGUAAGUUAGAUGUGAAAGCCCGGGGCUCAACCCCGGGACUGCAUUUAAAACUGCUUCGCUAGAGUGCAGGAGAGGAAAGCGGAAUUCCUAGUGUAGCGGUGAAAUGCGUAGAUAUUAGGAGGAACACCAGUGGCGAAGGCGGCUUUCUGGACUGUAACUGACGCUGAGGCUCGAAAGCGUGGGGAGCGAACAGGAUUAGAUACCCUGGUAGUCCACGCCGUAAACGAUGAGUGCUAGGUGUCGGCCUGUAGAGGGUCGGUGCCGCAGCUAACGCAAUAAGCACUCCACCUGGGGAGUACGAUCGCAAGAUUGAA
rnacentral:rRNA from 1 species